rnacentral:lncRNA from 1 species
GGCAUGGCAUGGCUUGUAUCUAGGGAGUCAAGCUUUCCUUCUUCACAGGGCACUCUUCUCUACAAGACCAGCUGGUAGCUGUCUUCAUGGCUCUGCUCCCUUUCUGCUGUUCUGGUGUUGACCAGUGCACUGCUUUCUCACCAUCUCCUCAUGAACUGAGCAGCCAUCUGAUUCUGCCUGGCUCAUGCAUCUUGAAUUCCUGCAAACUUGUGAGGAGUUUUCCGAGCAUUGAAAAAAUCAAACCAAACCAAACCAAACCACCAAGAAAAGGAGACAGUAAUGAAGAGUAAGCUGAUUUUUUGUCCUGAUGUUCUCCGCCAGGUAAGAUAUACCACUAGGAGCUGGCAAGGCUGUGGGCUGCAUAUAAAAAGAUCAGCAUC